CCCUACGGGAGGCAGCAGUGAGGAAUAUUGGUCAAUGGGCGGGAGCCUGAACCAGCCAAGCCGCGUGAGGGAAGAAGGUACAGCGUAUCGUAAACCUCUUUUGUCAGGGAACAAAGGCGGGGACUAGUCCCCGGAUGAGGGUACCUGAAGAAAAAGCAUCGGCUAACUACGUGCCAGCAGCCGCGGUAAUACGUAGGGGGCAAGCGUUAUCCGGAUUUAUUGGGUUUAAAGGGUGCGUAGGCGGAAUGCCAAGUCAGCGGUAAAAUCGCGGGGCUCAACCUCGCUCCGCCGUUGAAACUGGCGUU
rnacentral:rRNA from 1 species